rnacentral:rRNA from 1 species
AGGGUUUGAUUCUGGCUCAGGAUGAACGCUAGCUACAGGCUUAACACAUGCAAGUCGAGGGGAAACGAUAUUGGAAGCUUGCUUCCGAUAGGCGUCGACCGGCGCACGGGUGAGUAACGCGUAUCCAACCUGCCCACCACUUGGGGAUAACCUUGCGAAAGUAAGACUAAUACCCAAUGAUAUCUCUAGAAGACAUCUGAAAGAGAUUAAAGAUUUAUCGGUGAUGGAUGGGGAUGCGUCUGAUUAGCUUGUUGGCGGGGUAACGGCCCACCAAGGCAACGAUCAGUAGGGGUUCUGAGAGGAAGGUCCCCCACAUUGGAACUGAGACACGGUCCAA